AGGGGCUUGGUGUAGCAGGGGUGGUGAAAAGAUCUCUUUUUCCCUAGUUGGUAGAAUAGAUUCUAUGAUUCUUAAAGCAGAAGAAUAUGAAAUGUCUGAGCUACACUCAUUUUUUUAGGGCUUAAAAUCUGAAUCCUCAGUGCACCAGAGGAGGAAAGAACGAUGAAGUCAAGAGUUUUACUAGUGAUCCUGUGGCUUCAGUUAACCUGGAUGAAGAGUCAACAGAAGGGAGUGGAGCAGAGUCUUGGAUCUCUGAGCGUUCUGGAGGGAGCCACUGCCUCUCUCAACUGCAAUUAUAGUGACAGUGCAUCCCAGUACUUCAUGUGGUACAGACAGUACUCCGGGAAGGGCCCCGAACUGCUGGUGUACCUGUACUCCAAAGGUGACAAAAAGGAAGGAAGAUUUUUGGCGCAGGUCGAUACAGCAAAACAAUAUGUCUCCCUGCUCAUCAGCGACUCCCAGGCCAGCGAUUCAGCCACCUACUUCUGUGCAGUGAGCACACAGUGCUCCCCUCACACCUGCUGACUGUACCCAAACCCUUUGGGGCCCCAGCAAUGCCUGAUAUAGAGCCUAGGCUGCAGGGUAGAAAAUUUCUGUUUGCUGUCUAGACGCACAUGGGAAUUAAGGGCAUUAGCCAUAGCCCUAGAAUGCCUUAUACCCCAGGCAGAACAUGGGAGCUCAGAAUGACUUCAUGUUUCCUGAGAAGGAUCUCCAA